rnacentral:rRNA from 1 species
AGAGUUUGAUCAUGGCUCAGGACGAACGCUGGCGGCGUGCCUAAUACAUGCAAGUAGAACGCUGAAGAGAGGAGCUUGCUCUUCUUGGAUGAGUUGCGAACGGGUGAGUAACGCGUAGGUAACCUGCCUUGUAGCGGGGGAUAACUAUUGGAAACGAUAGCUAAUACCGCAUAACAAUGGAUGACCCAUGUCAUUUAUUUGAAAGGGGCAAAUGCUCCACUACAAGAUGGACCUGCGUUGUAUUAGCUAGUAGGUGAGGUAACGGCUCACCUAGGCGACGAUACAUAGCCGACCUGAGAGGGUGAUCGGCCACACUGGGACUGAGACACGGCCCAGACUCCUACGGGGGGCAGCAGUAGGGAAUCUUCGGCAAUGGGGGCAACCCUGACCGAGCAACGCCGCGUGAGUGAAGAAGGUUUUCGGAUCGUAAAGCUCUGUUGUAAGUCAAGAACGAGUGUGAGAGUGGAAAGUUCACACUGUGACGGUAGCUUACCAGAAAGGGACGGCUAACUACGUGCCAGCAGCCGCGGUAAUACGUAGGUCCCGAGCGUUGUCCGGAUUUAUUGGGCGUAAAGCGAGCGCAGGCGGUUUGAUAAGUCUGAAGUUAAAGGCUGUGGCUCAACCAUAGUUCGCUUUGGAAACUGUCAAACUUGAGUGCAGAAGGGGAGAGUGGAAUUCCAUGUGUAGCGGUGAAAUGCGUAGAUAUAUGGAGGAACACCGGUGGCGAAAGCGGCUCUCUGGUCUGUAACUGACGCUGAGGCUCGAAAGCGUGGGGAGCGAACAGGAUUAGAUACCCUGGUAGUCCACGCCGUAAACGAUGAGUGCUAGGUGUUGGAUCCUUUCCGGGAUUCAGUGCCGCAGCUAACGCAUUAAGCACUCCGCCUGGGGAGUACGACCGCAAGGUUGAAACUCAAAGGAAUUGACGGGGGCCCGCACAAGCGGUGGAGCAUGUGGUUUAAUUCGAAGCAGCGCGAAGAACCUUACCAGGUCUUGACAUCCCGAUGCUAUUUCUAGAGAUAGAAAGUUACUUCGGUACAUCGGUGACAGGUGGUGCAUGGUUGUCGUCAGCUCGUGUCGUGAGAUGUUGGGUUAAGUCCCGCAACGAGCACAACCCCUAUUGUUAGUUGCCAUCAUUCAGUUGGGCACUCUAGCGAGACUGCCGGUAAUAAACCGGAGGAAGGUGGGGAUGACGUCAAGUCAUCAUGCCCCUUAUGACCUGGGCUACACACGUGCUACAAUGGUUGGUACAACGAGUUGCGAGUCGGUGACGGCAAGCUAAUCUCUUAAAGCCAAUCUCAGUUCGGAUUGUAGGCUGCAACUCGCCUACAUGAAGUCGGAAUCGCUAGUAAUCGCGGAUCAGCACGCCGCGGUGAAUACGUUCCCGGGCCUUGUACACACCGCCCGUCACACCACGAGAGUUUGUAACACCCGAAGUCGGUGAGGUAACCUUUUGGAGCCAGCCGCCUAAGGUGGGAUAGAUGAUUGGGGUGAAGUCGUAACAAGGUA